CUGCAUGAAGUUGGAAUUGCUAGUAAUCGCGGAUCAGCAUGCCGCGGUGAAUACGUUCCCUGGCCUUGUACACACCGCCCGUCACACCAUGGGAGCCGGUAAUACCCGAAGUCAGUAGCCUAACCGCAAGGGGGGCGCUGCCGAAGGUAGGAUUGGCGACUGGGGUGAAGUCGUAACAAGGUACC
rnacentral:rRNA from 1 species